CCUCCCCCACCCUGCUGGCUACUCCCUCCCUCCCCACCCCUCCGUUUUUUGUCCCUGCAUGGAAGUCAUCGAUACUGAAGUGGUCGGAGGAUGGGAUAUGUCAUGGAAAGUUCGGGCAACUUCACGGAACAGUAAUGAUGGCGGCAGAGGGUUCCCUUCUGGGGUGGAGAGCAGGGGAUGGAGGGAGGGGAUGGGGGGGGAUGGUAACCUGAGGUGGGGCCAAAGCUGGGUGAAGCCAGUGGUCCUACAGAACAUCCACACACUCACCUCCUGCAGUAGAAGGAAAGGGGGGAUUUAAAACUUUUUUCCUUUUGUUUAAAAAAAAAACACAAGGAAGUAUGAAUGCAGAGUAUACUGACUGAAGCAAUUUAUAGCUAAAGCGUCUCUGAUAGAAAGGCCCCGUUUGUGUUACUUUACCCUCAGAUGUAAACUCCAGAUUAAGAAGAAAGCUCAGAAUGCACCUUCGCCUCAAAGGGGAGACUUGACACCCACAAAGCCAGAGGGGUGGUGUUGCACCUUGGGGAAGGGGGAGGUGGGAGGUGACACUGUCGCAGGACCUCUGCCUCCGCCAGAUCUCAGCGUGCCCUUCCCAGUAAGGGCCACCACCUGCCACCCAGGUUUUGUGUCGUUAUUUCCCCUCUGUAGUUUCAACUUUAUUUUCUUUUCCAAAAUGGGAAAAGUUUUUUUUAAUUGGCAAAGUUAGCUCUCUCUGGUUUUUAAACCACAGGGCAAGUUUGGGGCUAGUCCCUCUGGGGUGACAGCUAGCCCCAGCUUGAAGGGGAAGGCAUCACACACUUGCAGGCCACUGCUUCCUCUUCCUCCCUCCUCUGCCCUGGGACAGCUGCCUUACGAUGACAGAAGGGAAGAAUAUUCCCUAUGGAAGCUUGCCUGGAGGCCUGCGGUUGGAGGCUCUCACCAAGAGCCACGAGUGCAGUGAUUUUUUACCCACUUGCCACAGGGGUGAGAAGACACUGAGAUGCACCACACCAGGCUGGCAGAAGACUGAACGGGGACUGAAGAUAUAAAAGGAGACCAAAGCAAGCUGGGCCUGGCUCCUGACUCAGCAGAGAAAGCAGAAAGUGCUGCCUCUGGAUGCCCAUGGGGCAGGAAGCCCCAAGGUGAGUCCCUAAGAAGCUAUAGCCCCAGAUGAAUAAACAGCCAAGGAGAGAGCAGGCUAAAGGGAAAAAUGAAAACAAAAAGUACAGAGGCUUAUAGCAAGCGAAUGGCUUAUUUGCGAAUGUGCCGGUAGACAAGGGGAUGCGGAGGUCUGAAUAUAGAAGAUUAAACUUGCGGAUAACACUUGGCUCUUCUCACACAUAGAGAUAGGUACCAAGCAGAGGUAUUCAAAAGGCAGUUAUUAUCUUGGUCAAAAGGCGGUAUUAUCUUGGUCAAACAUACACCUUUCUCUUCUGGGCUCAGGAAAAUGAGAAGAGCUCAGACUGGAUUCCUGGUUUACACAGGCAGUGAAUCCCCCCACCCCCUACCAAGGAACAAACUAACCUGUUCUGUUUCGGGGUGAAAGGGUGGGGUGGAAACAGAGGCACAGUGGGAGACAGAGAGAAAGCUCUUCCAGCUUCUUUCUCCUCUGGAGGGAUGUGGAUCCAAUGCAACUUUGGGCAGGCCUACCUACUCAGCGGUAGGGAGAAGGAGGCUUUUGGCUGUGGCUCUUUUUAGCUGGGUGAGCUCCCUAGAGAAUAGCCCAGCCAGAGGAAGUUGCCUGGAGACAGAUGUAGCACACCCAAGGAAGGAUGCUGUCCAUGGAUGCCUAGCUUCCCCGGCUUUAGAAAGCAAGAGAAUUCUGUGUUGUUCCCGCUCCUGGCAACCUCUCCUUUCCUGUGUGUGCAGAGGCCCAGAGCCUGAGAGUUGGCCUGCAGGGAACUGCACAAUCAGAGCUCAUCUGGGGCGUGUAUCAACCCUCCCCGCUCAGUCAUCUCCCACCAAAUGACACUAAAAUCACUGUGGAGAAGGCUGCAUUAGAAUACAGACUAAAAAACCCAAGUCCUGCUUUAUUAUGCACUUGCUCAUCACAAUGCCUGAAUCCCAGCUCGAAGUCACCUUGCAAAUGCUGCCCAGCCAGGGGCUGAAGACGCAGCUGCUUGGUACCCACCAGAGGGUGCAGUGGGCAGGCAGGAAGCGCCCAGUUCUGGGUUGGUCCCUUCUCCAGGGGCAGGGUGUCUGCACCCUUAAGUGCUGGGACCCAAAGGAGAGAUGGGAGAAAUCUCUCCGAGCUCCACAGGCUACACCUGCCUCUGUCUCUCUCUGUGGCACAACCAUGCUCCAGGGCAUGUUCAAGUCCUCGAACAAGGCAUCCGCACAUAUGUGCAUCUCUGGGAAGACUCAAAAAAAACCAACGGCUCUGGCUGCUCAGGAGCUAAUGGGGACAGACACUUGGUACACACUUGUCAGUACUUGUUCCUGCCAUUGGGCAGUGGAUGGGCGUUGGGGACGAAGUAAUUGUCUUCUUUGGGGGACUCAGUAUAACCCCUGGUAUGGAACACAGGCUGGCUCCAUGGUAAAGGGGUUAUCUGAAGAACCCCUCUUCCUCUAUGCUGUGAGUGGCAGGGAGAGAGCAUGGAGCCACGCCCUUGAAGGUGCUCUCUGAGGUCAUCUCCCUUCAAUUCUCACACAUCUGUCUUACGUGGAGGUGCCCUUCCCUAGACCCCCAAGACAGUCCAGAAACCAUCCCAUAUGCCAGGAUCAGGUCAGAAGAGGGGAAGGCACGGCCUUCAUGGGCAAAGUCACCUUGUCUACUGCUAGGUAAGGGUGUGGCGGGGGGCAAGGAAGUAAACAUUGUUGAAUAAACAUUGCUUAAUUUUGUAAAUUGGGUAUUACGAUGCUUUUUCCAGAAAAGGGCAAUGUUUUGUCAACAGCUUGGCAUUUCUGUAACAGCAGCUGUGCUAAGUGGCUUAACACAAGCCCUGUAUGAGGCUGGAGGUCUGGGGGCUCAUCUUGGUGAGCAGGCUCAUUUCUCCAUCAGGAGUCCUGGGUAGGACCAUAGCAUCGGCUUAAUCUCAGGUAGGUUCCUACUUAUCCCAUGCCCCUACUUCCCAGCAUCCUCUGGGCUUCUCCACUCCAGGCAGUGCUCUAGGAGGAGGCCAUAGUGUAGCGAAAGGGGGCACUGGACCUGGACUCAGAAGACCUGCACGUGACCAUGGCCCCGUAUAACUGUGCUCUUUGUUCCAGCCUUCUGGCCCAGGCCCUUAUCUGUAACACCUGAGGGAUGUCUCCCUCAUUCAGCCUGACUUGGGGCUGCUGCAAGAAUGAAAAUGAGAAAGUCCUCUGUGACUUGCCAAGCAUAAAACAGAUACACCUAUUUUGGAAAUAGUAGUGUAUGCAGAGCCCAAGGAGGAAGGUACCACAGGUAGAGUUAGGGAAACCUGAUAUGGGGAAAUGCAAUCUCGCCAUACAAAUCAGGUGAUUUACGAAAGGAUCCAAUUCAUCCCCUUGGCGCAUUUAAUCAUCCCGGACCUGAAGAAAGGACUCUCAAGAUGGGGGAGGGGAAGCAGAAAAACAAGGAUAUUAAAUCUCAUGGGGGACAACGUGAGAAAAUCAUUUAAAUGAAAGGUGGAGCAAUUUUACAUUAUACAAAAGGAGGAACUUCCUGCCUACCAUUAAAGCACCUGGAUAGCUGACUUGGGAAAGCAAACAAAUCUUAUCCUGGAGACCUUGAGGGGAGACCAGUACUGUAGGCUUAGACCUGCACCUGUAGGUGUUAGACCAAAGCUCAUGAGCAUCUUUCCCCAGGAUUCUGAAAUGAGACAGGGAUAUGCCUGCGAUUGCCUGGUACAUGCGGGUCUGCCCAGAUGCGGUCAGAGGGUGCUGGCUGAGUGUGGAAUGAGUCUCUAAGGGGGACCUCAUUAUAGGUCUAGGGAAAAUACAGAGGCAUAGUUAGGUAUGUUAUUGCUGUACCGUCUGUAUGUGAUGUCCCUGAACCUUAGGCAUAAAGCUAGAGCCUACAGUCAUAAAGGCAGCACCCCUCAGAGGGGAAGCCCAGCUCUGAGGUCUGGAAACAAGAUUAUUACUUAUCUAGAGAAAGUGAAUGGUGACGAAAAUCCCUCGCACACUACCUCAGCCCACAUGUCUGGGGAAGCUAGGGAUCCUCUGAGUUCCAGCCUCCUGCUUUGGAGGGUCUCACAUUUCCCCAGAGGGCAGGGCCAGCCCUCAGGACAAUUUCAAUCAUUUGCUUUGUGAGUCAUCAGACGCUGCCAGGUUUCUUUAAAGGUGGGGGACCCUGGUUGCCCCUGGAACACAUCUAGGAAAAAACCUCUUCCCUCCUUGGUCAGCCCGUGCUGUGCAGGGCAAGGCAUAACCGAGAGUGAGCCACUGCCCUACUCCCUUCAGAAGGCAAAGCGCUGCCAAACAAAAGCAGCUCCACUGUGUUAUUUCUGCGCCAAGGGGAAGGGAGUCUGCGCUGACUGGUGUGUCCCAGCCUUUGCUCCGGGCCCCUAGCUCCCAACAGAGUGGAGGACUGAGUGCAGGGAGGUCACACGCCUAUGCGACAGUCUUUGAGGGUCGUGGCUGUGUGAAUCUCUCCUGCUGGGUUUUAGGGAGCUUUGUUUGUUUUAGAGAAAUUAAAGAGACUAAUUAAAGUUCUUGUCUCCUCCAACACUCACCUCUACUCUCAUCUUCUCUGAAUCAUGCUUCUGCGUCUGCCUUGGCCAGAAUCCCACAGGGACAGGACUGUCUGGCCAUUAGCAAUGAACUCCUCAAGGCAGGCUAUAUGGAGAUGCCAGGUUCUGUUGGUUCUCUUGGGGCCCUCUGUCCCCAACGACGGCACCUUCUCUACAGCAAGAGUCACCUUUCUCUCUUCCCCGACAGCCUUGCACACUCAGGGGACGCUGCUGAGUCUACAGUGCCAGCUGGCUGUGCACAGAGAUGGCAGGAGUCCCUUUCAGCAUCAGCCUCUCCUUCCACAGUGCUCUGAGGAACGACCACUGGGAAGCCCAGGGCUUACUUAGGGAACAGUCGGGGAACUCACUCUGCAUCCUCCUUACUGUGUCCUCUGAAGGUCGAUGGGCAAAUGGGAAAGGUCAGUGUAGACAGAUAAACCUGCUUCUGAUUCCAGGAGGACACUCAGUGGAGCAGAACAAGGCAGACUCUGCCUGGGUAGCAGGUUUCAGGGAUCUCUGGCUCACACGUUGCUUCUAGAGCUUAGGCUUAUGGAAAGAGCGACUGCUAGAGCAGGCCAGCAAUCUGUCCAGCCUGGGGAAAUGGUACGACAUGCUGAAUUAAAAACACAUCUGGUCAGGAACCCAGAUGCAGGGACAAUCGGAUUUUAUGCACAACGUAGGUAUUUAAAGCUCUGGUGAAAUUUAGGCAAAUUCAGAAGAGAAGGGCAGAGGACAUUCAAAUGGAUGGAGGGUUAAGAGUACAAGGUGCUUUUUCUUUUCAUUGUCUCCAUACGUGAACAGGUAUAUUACAGAGAACAAACUCAUUCCAAGCUCAACGUACCAGAGAGACCCAGCGCAUCUUCAGCACUGCAUGGGAACUGUGAUGAGCAUUCGCUCACUCACUAGCUGCCAGGACAGUCGAGUCCCGGGAUGUUCCAAGCAUCGGUUCCAAUGGUACCAGUCUUAGAAGACUGCAGUUUCUCUCAAACUUGACCCUGCCCCAGGCCCCCAUGGUUGGUGCUGAUGCCUGCUGAUGAAUGCUGGUGUGUCUCAGGUAGGGAAUGGGUGGGCUGGAGAACCCCAGCUUGUGACUAAUGGUUUCGGACGACGGUCUUCAUUUCACACUUGCCCAAACCUUCGAGAGAUAAACUUCACUACUGGCCAGUGAUAUCCACGCCCUGUACACCCCAGGACUAUGUUAGUGGUAACUGGGAAUUCUCAGUACCAUUGAGACCAAUGGGAGAACUGUCCAAAAUGGACCCAUCUGAAGACGACUUUGUGGCCAGGACACUGCACUUCAUGUUGAGAUACAAUCUUCUCUUUCCAGCUUGGUGCUUUUGUAACCAGUCUUGAUCAGGGUCUGAGUGUGCUUACGCAGGACCAGGCUGAGAGGGCUCUGGGGGGGCUGGUUGGAAAGGUGGGUGAAGGGAAGAUGGUAAUGAGUGGCCGAUGGCCUUCUGCUCAGGAUGCUAUCCUGGGGGUGCAGCAGCUGUGAGUGGGCCUGAUAGCCAAACAAGUUUUUGUCACGAGGACAAAGACAUUUUUUGCUCUGUGGUCAGGUUCCCAUUUUUCUUCAAACCCUCAGGGACCAAGCUUAUUUGUAAGUUUCUAAGGGAAAGGGACAGGGGUUCUGGGAAGGGAGAGGCCAUGACUCUAGUCAUGGAAGCAACUCCUUCUCUCUUGAGCAGUUCGGUGGCUGGAAGACAACCACAGUUCAAUCCUGAGAAUGUCCCUUGCAUUUAACCUGGUGGCUGGUUUUGUCCUUGAGGCACAUUUAUCCCUCUAACUUUUCAAAAAAAGAAACCAGGCUGAUGUGAUGGCACAUGCCCGUAAUCCCAGCUACUCAGAAGGCUGAGGCAGGAGGAUGGCAGGUUGAAAGUCCGCCUGGGAAACGUAGUGAGACUUUGUCUCAAAAAGGCGGGUAAGGGGAGCUGAAGGUAUAGCUCAGUGGUACAGUACUUGCCUAGCGUGCAAGAGGUGCUGGUUUUGAUUCCUAGUAUGGCCAAAAAACAAAAACCAAAAAAACAGUGUGGCUUUUCCCUACGCGUUCCCAGCCACCUUCUUGUUCUGCUGCACUGCUGUGUGCCUGCUGGUUACUUCCCGCCCUGCAGGGCACCACCCAGCUAGCAGGGUCAGAUCCUUGCUUGUGUCUUUUAAAUGAUUCCACUUCCUAUGGGACCAGCGUAUAAUUUCCGCACUACAAACUCGUUAAAACACUAUGAAAUGCAAGACCACAGGUUUAAAAGGUGGCCUCAUGUGCUAUUCUCAGUCAAGAGGAAAAGCUAUGUAAGAAUCAGGCAUCACCCUGUCCCUGUCACGGAAUGUGGGCAGCGGGAUGCCACUUACUAGCGGGGAGGAAGACAGGUGAAAGGGAAUGAAGCAAGAGGUACAAAGUUCUGGAAGCGGUGGCUUUGGAGGGUGCCGGGCUGGGAAGGCAUCGCAGACCAGCUCAGCUGCUGAGCAUUGCCCAGGGCAGGUAUUUAACCCCAUCCAUGUUCAUGCACCCAGCAACGUAGAAGAGGGUCUUUAUGACUCCUGUGUUACAGCUGAGGAAACGAAGGGUCCGGGCAGCUAGGGAAGGUGUCCAGUGUCACUGAGAGUCCCAGAGAGUGCUGAGCCCAGUUCCAGCGUGAAGGCACAUAUAUUACACAGCCCCGCUGUUCUUCCCUGAUUCAUAGACAAGGUUUCCUUUGUGUAGCUGGGUCUUUCUUUGCUCAAAAGAAAUAGCAAAUUCGAGGAUAAGGAAUCUACUCUCUAACCUUGGAAUGGAAACUGCCCAGGUCUUGGACCCUGUUCCCCUCCUUUCCCAACAAGAAAAUCUGCUGGUGCAGGUAUUUCCCCCACAGACUGGGGGCUCCUGAGGUUGGGUGGUAUCUGCCACUUGAGAUAGAGGACUUUGUCUCCCCAGAGGACUAGGACGCCCCCCUGUCCCCUUCCCCCCAGUUGUGUCACAUUUCAAAAAAAAAGGAGCCUUGCAGCACAAGGCAGGCAGACAGUUGGUAUUAGUGGAAGAGGGCACUGCCAGAGAAAACCAUGCAUGCCCUGGCCAAGUCUGGGCCCUUAUUGGACACCCCCACCCAAGGUGCUGGACCCAAUGGGGUACCCAGUGGGCGAAGCUCAGUCUCAGAAGACCACUCCACUCUGCAGAGGACGAGCUUACGGGUACUAGGACACCCGAGGGCUGACUGGCAUUUAGUGCCCGGUCACAUCUAACAGCAACGCGCUGCCAGCUGGGGGCUGGGAUGCAGGGGGUCCCCAGGGGGUGGCCCCUAGAGGACCUGUACAAAAGGCUUUCCACUUGAGCAGCCUGUCUUUAAUGAUUAUAAAGGCACAGGAGUUUAAUCCAUUUUUGAUGUAAGCGCUAAUAGCUCUGUGUCCUUGAAGUUCAAAGCGGGUGCAUACAUGUCACUAAUUAGCCAAGCACGGAGCUAUUCAGCUCCCUCUCAUGUUCCUAAUUAGGUCUUUAAUAACAAACAAACUCUGACCUUACCAAAAGGCCCCCAUUCGUCAGACAGUCAAGGAAAGUGGCUGCUGGCCUGUUUACGGUUGCUGCCCACUUGUGCUAUGUGUACAGGUUCCUAAUCUCAGCCACGACAGGGUUGUCCUCGAGGGAGGCAGGAGAGUCACUCCAUGAGGACAAAGACCCCCUUCAUCUCAUCUGGAAUGCUCGUCUUCCUUGUCCUGCUGGGAAAGACAGCCGAGACCUUUCGGCUUCCAACUGCAGGACAGCAGUCACAGACCCAGGCUGGAAACCUCACCUGGCUUUUGGUAGCGGAGGCUGGGAUGCCAUCGACGGUCACAGAUGGUGUGAAGCUCUAUAUGCAGCAAGAACAGAACAGCACUUAAGCCUAUGGUUACAUAUUGGACUUGCUUGAGGCCCAUCUUGCCAGGUUCUGAUUUGAUGGGUUUGCAGGGUUUAAACACUCCUCAGGUGAUUCUAACAUGCAGCAAAGUUCACAGGUACUGCAUUGACCCCAAUCUCAUCAGCAGCUAUUAACAGGUCCACUGUUACUAAUGAAUAGUAUCCACAAACAGCCAAAUCCUUCAAUCAUCCACACUGAAGAAUGGGAAUCUGAUGACAGAUUGUACAAACGAUAAACAAUUCCGGAAAUACUUCAUGCCCCCUACUGCUUCAUGCAUUAAGCACUGAAUAACUGACUGGCUUCAAAUGUAUCCCCACCAAGUUUUUUUACCACUUGGAAGUGCCUGGCUUUCUCUCCACUUGCUCCUCUCUCUCAGCUCUUAAGCCACUGUCAUUGUCACUGCUUCAAGCUCCAAGGACAAGAGAUCAAGAGCUUUGGAAACAGCAGCUAUACAGAGCUGUGAACUUCAAUGGUCCCCCUAGACCCUCUAGUCUGAAGUUCUCUUUUGGUAGAGAAGGAAGCAGGCCUGGAACCAAGUCUUCUAAUUACUGACUCAUUCUCCUAUGCACUUAUGCUGCCUCUGUUUUUUUAAAGAGCAUUUUCUUAUCCUUAUUAGAUUAAGCCACAAGGCAUUCUCAUAGGGAAAAGGAUAGAAGAAAAGCCUCUCAGCUCUUUUGGCCUUGAAGGCCCGGAUGUGGGAGUGGAGGCCAUCCCUGAGCAUAGUAUCCCCCAUCAUUUCUAAGCCUGAACUAAAUGUCCUCUUCAAGACACGCAGAAGAGAGGCACUGAAAUCUUGGCAGGGGAGCUAUUUCAGCGGAAGGUUAAGACUGUAUACAGAAAAACAUGGUCAAGGACACAUGGCAAAGCUGGACUAAGGGUGUCCUCCAACACUGGUCCAUUUGUCUGGUUUUGCUACUGUGCUUCAGGUCUUCAGUGUAUCCUGAAUCCCGCGUGUGUCUGAUCUGAGUUCUCCCCAAGGCCAGGAAAGCUAUCCUCUCCAGGUUACAGUCAGGAAAACUUCCAGAAAGAGGAGAAAGCCAGGCUGGGAAGUAGGGCUGGGCUGCUUUCCCUAACUACAUCGGCCUCUAUCACAGGAGCCCAGGUUUGCCUUGUUUAUCACAGACCUGGACAGACCAUUUUAUUAAUAUUAAUAAGUAGCUAGAACAAAGGGCCCCUUUUAUUUUUAGCUUUCUCUAAUUGUGUAGUAAUUACUCAUCUACAAAACAAAUGAGCCUCUGCUCACAGUUGCCAUGGUUCCAGGAACCCAGCCUUCCUGCAGGAUGAUUGGAUGAGGAGCUCACUGCUCUAGCCUGUGGACCCACCCCUCCCUCUGCCAUUGGUCCAAAGCAAAGCCCCAGCAACUAGGCAGCCAAUCCCCUUCCAGUGCUAGGGCUGAGCUUUGUUUCCCAGCAACCUUUCAGAUGCAGUUCUGGCAGCUCACAGGAAGGGAUGUUGACUCCUCCCCAAGGAGCAAGCCUGUCUUUGCAGAAGCCCUCCCUUGCUCCAUUUCCUAGUUUCUUUUGGGCAGUGGCUAACUUCCUUUGAUCCUGUUUUAGCAAAAGUUUCCCUUCAAAUAAUUCAUUUUGGAUCAAAACCCUUACAGGCUACUAUCCUCUCUAAGCCAGUUUCUAAAUCUUCAAAACGGGAACCCGAAUGAUAGCACCCACUUCACAGGGUUAUUGAGAAUUAAAUGGGAUAAUGCAGGUCAGCUUGGUACAGUAUUUGGCUCGCUCAUAGCACAUGAGUUACUAUUGAUGUAUUACUAUUAUCAUGAGUUUAUUAAAAUUGGCUGGGAAGUGUCUCUAGCAUUCUGUCAACCACUCUCAAGAUAACUUGCCCUGAAGGGACCUUCCAGGUGAGUGAAUUUUGAGAUGCUGGCUGGAGGCCUUCUAUCCCAUGCCAUGGAGUAGAAUUCACUGUUGCAUCUUCUGACAGACCUAAUCCCAACAGCCAAUCACAACUACUCAAAAAGUACUAUUUGCUUGCCUCUUCUUCUGCAAGAUCCCAAGCUAGAAAGGAGAGACUUUUUAAUAUUAAUAAGCAUCCAGGAACAAAGGGCCCUUUUAUUUUCUGUGUUCUCCAACUGCGUAGUAAUUAUUCAUCUGCACGAAGAAUGAGAACCAGGCUGACUUUACCUCCUGAAGGACUAACGGUUUGUAGUGUUGGGGAAAGCUGGUGCCACCCAGAAAUAAAUGUAAAGUGUCUUCCAAGGACUUAUAGCCCCAAGGACAGGGUGCCCCAGGUAGAGUUAAGCAGGUGUGACUUCCUCAGUCUGAGCUAGAUUUAAGGGAGGAAGCAAAGACAAGGGCGGAGGGGAAGAGACGGGCAGAAAGGAUGAGGUCAGUGGUUGCCAUGAGGGCAAAGGACUCGGAACCAACAGCCCCCCACAGGGAAUGACUAACAACUUGUCGGCAGAAGCAAAGGACAGGCCGUGGAAAACCAAGCUGCAGCCCCAUGGUGGAAUGCUCUUCUGUGCCUGUCUUCUUGCUGCCUCGUUCCUUGUUCUAGGUCAUAAACGUGGCUUCAGAUCCUUGGUUCAAGGAGGUCAAGCUGUCUUCUCCGGGACUGAUACCCAGGUCACCUUCCUCAGGUGGUUCGGUCCACCCCAGGUUCUGCUGCCGUACAGAAUACGAACCUCCUUCUCUUGCCAAUACGGCUCUAUCCACCUAACUUUCAAGGUCUCCUGGAAGCUUGCUAUCUCUCCUGCCUCUUCAAGUCCCCAGAACAACGUGGAGGCCAGAGUUACUAUCAAUGGGGAAGAGCAAAAGACCUGCCGCUUACUUUGCACCUAUACCUUACCAUGUAUGCAGUGUCUAUAAUGUAUGCGCAGUAUUUGCAAUUUGUUCACCUGCCUCUAAUCUUGCCUCUCCAUGGUGGACACUGUUGCCAAGUGCAAGUCACACAGAGGAUACUGAAAUGAGAAGGAGGAUAAAGCUAAGAGAACUACAGAGAAGCAGCCCCACACGAACUACAUGUGAAGCCUCUCUUCUAUAAAGCUUCCAGGAUGUUAGCCAAUAAAUCCCCUCUAAUACUGAACCAUGCUACGCUGGGUUUUCGGGUACAGUCCAAGGCACCCUUGAACCAGGCUUAGGAAAGUACUUGCCACACGUAAUAAUUACUAUUGUUAUAUACUGGUAAAUACCUGCUGCAUUAAACUCCACGGUGGACGUAUUCUGGGAAAUCAGCAGCUGGAAGCCUAAACCGUGAGGUCUUGGGCGAGAGCUGGGUUGAGACAGAGUUAGAACCUGAGGCUGCUCCAGUGCCCUGGCAUUUGUGCUUGUGCCCGGUGUCUGGGCGCCAGAUGAGUCCUUCAUGAACAGACAUGGCUUCUCCACAGGGCUGCUCUGAGGAGGCCAAAUACCUGGGCUUAAAUUCAGGGCUCUUCACCUCUGACCAAAGCUUGGCUCCUCUGGUAACCAUGCGUGUGUCUCUGGGGAAGUCACAUAACCAUUCUGCAGCCUACCUGUCUCAUGAAAACAAACGUGUAAACCAAUCCCAAAACGGCUGCCUUCCUGUCUUAUCUCAGGGCUUAGUUGUGGCAGUGGAUAUGACAGUAUGUGUAUGAUCAUCAAACUUUGCAGAAAUAAUGACACACUCAGGCACGCAUUCCUUUGAUGGCCCUCAUCAUCCCCAGGGGGUCUGCCUAGCUUUCAAGGCUUCCCAGACUGCACAGUGCCUCACCCAGGACACGGUGCAAGGACCACGUCUCUUGGCUCCUCCACACUCCACUGCCACACGCCCUGCCCCAUCUAGAAGCAGAACCUGGACUCCUGAGCCGAUGCAAGAUCGAGGGCCAGUCAGCUCAGGGGGCAGGCAGGGAUGUGUGUCACCCACCGAACAUCAUUCCACUGAUUUAAAAGACCAUUAACACCACCACCCCCAACUCCACUCACUUGAGGAUUAACUUAUACUUAGGGUUUGGUCUUCACGGCUAGUCACUAAUUGCACUAGAGUUGAUUUAUCAAGUGCAUGGUAUUUCUAUUAUAAAAUUAUUGAUUAGAGCUGAUGUAUUUUUAUCCUCAACAGGGUUGGUCUGAAAGCUCUUGGAAAAUGAAUGAAGCUGAGGUCAGCAGCAGCAGGCAGCUGUGCACAUCAGUAUAAAUUCACUGGGGUUACUGAAAUCCAGGGCUGGACUCCGUGGUGAAAGUCCCAAAUCUUUCGGAAGUGAAAAUUUUAACGACAAAUUGGGAAAUAAGGUGUCCACCUCUAGAACACAGACCGUGGAUAGAAAGAUGUCCACUCAGCAGAAGCACUAAAAGUCCUUCAGUCCUAUCAUCAAGCCGGGACAUUUAUGCAAGAUGAUGACAACAGCUGUCAGAGGAGCCCAGCCGUUCCUGAGGGAAGCUGACCACCUGUUAGCCCACUAAGUACGAGGCCAGGACAUUUUGUGCAGGAUGAUGGUGCCAGAUACACAACACCCUCGAGGACAAAUUGACCAUGACCACCAGGUAGUGCAAAUUCAUCACAAAUCAGAGCAUCUUCUGAAACCGUACUGUGGUUAAUGGAAAUUACCAGACUUUAGUCCACCCAGACAAAUCAAUAAAAACCAGUUGCUCUUUUUGUUCUGGGGGCAGCAGCAUGACCACAUUCUCGACAACUACUUGCUCCCUUCAGCCAAAGCCCCAAUUUGGCUGAAGCUUCCUUUCCUACCAAUAAGCCUUUGCUUCUGAGGUAUUGUGUAUGUGUGCCACAUCUGGCCCAGUCUCGUUUCUACCUUCCUUGGGUCAAAGAUCCCAUCACCCAGUAUCCAUUGACAUGGGUGUCAACCAGAUACAUGACCAUGUAUCAUGAGAAAUACGGACUUUCAGGACACAGGAAGAGAUUUCCUGACCCCUGGAGGCAAGGGAGUUAUCUGCAUCCAUGUUGCUUGGUACCUGGAAUAGCACACCCUCAAUAAAUGCUGCUGAAAGUAA